GAGGACUGCUGCUCUGCGGAUAAGCCUGGGGGACUCCUCCAAGGGGAAGGGCCAUAUUGGAAAUUGAAGGGUAUUUACUCAGGGAAGGCAGCUCAUAUCCAGUGCCACGUAGUUCUGACAUCCAGAUGCAUGAGGCCACAAGCCUUUGGGGACAUGGGAAGUAGAAGCAAGGUGAUGACAAAUGAAAGGCAUUCUUUGGCCUUGGAGCACACAGCCAUGGAAUCCGGCUGUGACCCCUUGAGCUUUGCUCAAGCAGAUACACGUGGUCAAAAUGGAACCUCCCAGAAGCCAGAUGUGGUUGGUCAACACCACGUCCACUGUUCUUUCUGUAGCUUUAGGGCUGGAGAACUCUCCAGACACUAAAUCAGGUCAUUACUAUUCAGUAGCAUCAGUGAGAAGUUUAUGUACAGAAGACAGAUCUGUUUAUUUUAAUGCUGGAAAUAAGUAAAAACAUUUUUUAAAGGUGAAUUCACC
rnacentral:lncRNA from 1 species